rnacentral:sRNA from 1 species
UAUAAGCCCUGAUGCAAGCGGUAUCCCAUCUCCUUUUUUCUACGAGAUGGAAUUUAGCGGGCAGCAGGAACUUUG